UACAGAGGGUGCAAGCGUUAAUCGGAAUUACUGGGCGUAAAGUGUGCGCAGGCGGCCGCGCAGGUCGAGUGUGAAAGCCCCGAGCUUAACUUGGGAACUGCGCUCGAAACUACGUGGCUGGAGUGUGGCAGAGGAAGGUGGAAUUCCAGGUGUAGCGGUGAAAUGCGUAGAGAUCUGGAGGAACACCGAUGGCGAAGGCAGCCUUCUGGGCCAACACUGACGCUCAUGCACGAAAGCGUGGGGAGCAAACAGG
rnacentral:rRNA from 1 species